GAUCUUUCCUCUACCUCUUGGUAUAUAGAAUGUAAAUAAUAUGGAUCAAAUGCUAGGUUCAUUCUACCAUUCCCAAAUGUCGAUUAUCUUUCAGCUAUUUCCACAAAUUUGAAAUGGUACAUGUGCCUAAUUUUAGACUUAUUAGUGUAUAUUCAAUUUACAUGCCCUUUUUCCCUAAAUGCACCACAUAAUUGUAUUUGUAGAGAGAUUCAUUCAUUUUCUUUCCUUUGAAAGGAGGCGGUCAAUCAAAAAGAGAUGUUAAUUAAUCAAAGGUCCAACUGAUCACCACGCCUAUAUUGUAGAUAUCUUUUUUUCCGCCUCAGCAAAUCGUUUUUUUUUUCCACAAGGAAUCAUGAUGUCUUUCUACGGAAUUGCGGGUGUCUUUAGAAUUUCAAAAAUUGAAAAAAAAAUAAAGUCAUCAACGAAAAGAGAGGGAUUCGAACCCUCGGUACGAUUAACUCGUCCAACGGAUUAGCAAUCCGCCGUGCUAAAGAGAGUGGAGGUUCGAGUCCUCUUCAAGGCAUAAUAUUGAGAAUGCUCAUUGAAUGGUUCUGUUCUCCUCUUCUUAGCUUAUGGUCUAAUUUUCAGUUUUUGCUGUGUCGUGAUAGUCCAUUCAUGUGCCUGUUCUGUUCAACAUUUCGGAGUCUGAUUUCAGGUUUAUCUUUCUUUCGGUUGGGGAUGUGAAGUUGGCAGAAUAUGCUUUUCUGGAGUUUGUUUAGAAUUAGUACGUUGUCAUAUUCAGAUCUCAACUCAGGAAGACCUCCUAUAAUGUGGCGUACGCCCGAAAUGAGGAGGCUGUAUCUCAAAGUCGAUCCUCAUUGUUUGGAUGGCAGACGCAUAUAUAAAUAUAUAUCUCAUUUUGCAGAGGUGAUCAAAUUGAAGAGUGAACAUAUUGGUGGAGCUUUUCCUAAAAAUAAUAGAUUAUGUGCUGGAAGAAAACCACAAUCAAAGAGUUGAAAUCCUAGAUUUGUACCUUGGGGUAAAGACUGCUCAGGCUCUUCUGGAGUUCCAAGAGCAACGAACAAAGGAGCCAUAAGCAAAAACGGGUUGACGGGAUUCAGAAGCUUCACUAUCGAGGCAGUUCAUUUGAAGACACUGACUACUCCAUGAGAAUGAUGAAAUUAAAGAGAGCUUUUGACUAGCUUCUUAAUCUCUUAUUUUCCAAAUAUGAGGUGAUUCGGUAUAGUAGACAGUUUUCUUGGUUAAUAGCAUAACCAAUAUCUUGCUAGCUUUUUCAUACUGUGUUUUUAAAUAUAUAGUGGUUUGACCUUGUUGACAAUUCCAAUAGGUACUAAUGUGAUGCUUCUGAACCGUGUUUUGACUA